rnacentral:rRNA from 1 species
GAAGGCCUACGGGGGGCAGCAGUAGGGAAUCCUCCACAAUGGACGAAAGUCUGAUGGAGCAACGCCGCGUGAGUGAAGAAGGGUUUCGGCUCGUAAAGCUCUGUUGGUAGUGAAGAAAGAUAGAGGUAGUAACUGGCCUUUAUUUGACGGUAAUUACUUAGAAAGUCACGGCUAACUACGUGCCAGCAGCCGCGGUAAUACGUAGGUGGCAAGCGUUGUCCGGAUUUAUUGGGCGUAAAGCGAGUGCAGGCGGGUCAAUUAAGCU